GACGAACGCUGGCGGCGUGCUUAAUGCAUGCAAGUCGAACGAAGAACCCACUAUGGGUAACCACUGUGGGAUUCUUAGUGGCGAACGGGUGAGUAACACGUGAGAAACCUGCCCCGGAGACCGGAACAGCCCAGGGAAACCUGGAUUAAUACCGGAUACCCUCCAAUGACCGCCUGGUCGCUGGAGGAAAUGGUCCGCCGCUCCGGGAUGGUCUCGCGGCCUAUCAGCUUGUUGGUGAGGUAACGGCUCACCAAGGCGAUGACGGGUAGCUGGUCUGAGAGGACGAUCAGCCACACUGGGACUGAGACACGGCCCAGACUCCUACGGGAGGCAGCAGCAGGGAAUUUUGCACAAUGGGCGCAAGCCUGAUGCAGCGACGCCGCGUGGGGGAUGAAUGCCUUCGGGUUGUAAACCCCUUUCAGGAGGGACGAAGCGAAAGUGACGGUACCUCCAGAAGAAGCCCCGGCCGACUACGUGCCAGCAGCCGCGGUAAUACGUAGGGGGCGAGCGUUGUCCGGAUUUAUUGGGCGUAAAGAGCUCGUAGGCGGCUCAGCAAGUCGGCCGUGAAAACCUGAGGCUCAACCUCAGGACGCCGGUCGAAACUGCUGUGGCUAGGGUCCGGUAGAGGAGAGUGGAAUUCCCGGUGUAGCGGUGAAAUGCGCAGAUAUCGGGAGGAACACCAGUAGCGAAGGCGGCUCUCUGGGCCGGCACCGACGCUGAGGAGCGAAAGCUAGGGGAGCAAACAGGAUUAGAUACCCUGGUAGUCCUAGCCGUAAACGAUGCUCGCUAGGGAUGGGGGAUUUAUUUUUCCGUCUCGUAAGCUAACGCGUUAAGCGAGCCGCCUGGGGAGUACGGUCGCAAGACUAAAACUCAAAGGAAUUGACGGGGACCUGCACAACCAGUGGAGCAUGUGGUUUAAUUCGAGACGAACCGAAGAACCUUACCUGGAUUUGACAUACUAGUUGCACAUCUCUAGAGAUAGAGACUCUUUCGAAGGUACUAGAACAGGUGCUGCAUGGCUGUCGUCAGCUCGUGUCGUGAGGUGUUCCCUUCAGUGGGGUAACGAGCGCAACCCCCGCCGUAUGUUGAAUAUUCAUACGGGACUGCCCGAGUCAUUCUCGGGAGGAAGGCGGGGACGACGUCAAGUCAGCAUGGCCCUUAUAUCCAGGGCUACACACAUGCUACAAUGGAGCCGACAAUGGGUCGCCAAGUGGUAACACGGAGCUAAUCCCAUCAAACGGCUUCUCAGUGGGGAUUGAGGGCUGCAAUUCGCCCUCAUGAACGUGGAAUUGGUAGUAAUCGCGGAUCAGCCAAGCCGCGGUGAAUACGUUCUCAGGUCUUGUACACACCGCCCGUCAAGUUAGUGAAGUUGGAAGCACCCGAACCUCGAUUGAAUCGGGGGAAGGUGAGACCAGCGACAAGAAUU
rnacentral:rRNA from 1 species